UUAGGAACAAGCACUGUUACGCUGUAAAAGCACAAAAAUAAACAUUCUAUAUGUUGCAUGUAAACAUCAUAGAAUGCUGCCCCAUUCUAGAACAUGUACGUGAACCCGUUCGUACGAGCUGAAUUUUGAAAGUGCUCGUGAAAGUGAUUUGACCUAAGACGAGACAGUUUGUUGGCCUUGUGGAGCGUUCUGCGCUGCGUUCGUGCAGCCAUCUUCACGGGACGGCCGCUCCUGGGGAGAGUCCAGACGGGAAAGCUGAAGCUCGUCCGUUUGGAGAGCGUUUGUGCACUUUUGUGACCGUGUCCAGCUUCGAGCAAGUUAGCAAUUUUGUGCUUCUGUAUGAGGUGCGGUUCACAUCGCUCGGGAGAACUGGCAUUUUGUUUUCUGCGGGGCAGCUUGAACCGGCGCCUCCAGUCUCAUCCCUGAUGGGACUCCAGGUGGGCCGAUCGGGGUUUUUUUUUUUUUUUUUGCUUGUCAAUCUAUCAAGCAAACCUUUCAUAUUUAAAAAGCAAGGCAAAUGAUCAAAGACGCAAACACAUCCCACCCACCCGGCCGACAGUGUGGAAAAAGAGUGACAGAUAGCAAAAUGCGUAGCGCAAGAGGUUGACACUUCACAUACUUAUGGCUACAUGCAGAUAAAUAAUUGAUGUGGACGUGCGCCCGAAGUCAAGUUGCCCAAAAGAAAGCAGAAGAUGAUCAGCUGCCCUUCAAACCUUUGUUGCAUCAUCGAGCCGCCGAGAAGCGAAACGGGAAGUCUGAAGGCAUCGAGCCCCCUCGCCGUGUCGCCGCUUCCUGUCUUCAGUCAGUCACUCUGCGCCUCGACGAUGGCCGUCGCGCUCGUCUUGCUGCUCGCCGCCGUGGCGACGGACGCUGUUUCGCCACCGCGCGCGCACGUCUCUUUCGUCUUCGCCGGGUCCUGUCUGAGUUUCAAACAGGAAGCGGUCUGUUUGUGCGUGCGCUCAGACUCCCCCGACAGGCCGCUGGUGCGUUUCCCGCUCGUCGGCGUCCGCAACUGUACCGCGCUGUUGCUAAGCGAAGACCGGGACACGCUCUACGUGGGCGCGCGGGACACCGUGCUCUCAUUGGACGUGAGCGGCAGUGAGGUCAUCACGCUGAAAAGGAAGGUGUCCUGGCCUCCGACCGACUCGGACGUGAACGACUGCCGCCGGAAAGGGAAGGACGCCACGGCGGACUGCGGAAACUUUGUGAGCGUGUUGCAGCACCUGAACGCCUCGCACGUGUACGCCUGCGGCAGCUUCGCCUUCGCCCCGCGUGACACCUUCCUGGACGCCAACACUCUGGCCAUGACCCCCCCGCGGGCCGCCCGAGGUCGCUGCCCGUUCAGCCCGACCCAGAGGAGCGCCGCACUCGUCGCGGACGGCGAGCUGUUCACCGCCGCCACCAACGACUUCAAGGGCGUCACGCCGCUCAUCGCGCGCCACUUCAGCAAAGACGGGCGCCCGGACGUCAUUCAGGACUCGUCGCCGAUCCUGCUGGAAGAGGCCAACUUCGUGGGUUCUGCGUUGGACUCCGCCCGAAGGAAAGUCUUCUUCUUCUUCAGCGAGCUGGCAAACGAGUUCAACGUCGAGGAGCGGCUGCAGGUGGCGCGCGUGGCCAGCGUCUGCCAGGACGACGUGGGCGGCGCCCAGAUCCUGCAGAAGAAGUGGACGUCGCUGGUGAAGACCACGCUGCGCUGCCUGGCGCCCUUCCGCGUCCUGCGCGACGUCUUCGCCCUGGCGCCGCCGGAGGGGGGCGAUGCCGCCCACACGCUCUUCUACGCCAUCUUCGUCUCGCAGUGGUCUCUUCGCUCCGAGUCGGCGGUGUGCUCCUUCCGGCUGGCGUCCCUCAGGGCGGCUUUCGCCGGCUCCUACAGGAGCUUCGACACCUCCACGCACCUGUGGAGCCCCCUGCUGGCCAAGAGCUCCUACUUUGGUCAGUGUGGCCUGGAGGGGGCGCCGCAUGCCAACUUGGAGGAAGUGAAGCGGACCUUCCUGACGGGCGGCUCCAUAGCUCCGGAGACGGGCGGCCCCCUGGUGGUCUCCGCCCACCUGCGCUACAGUCGGGUGGCGGCCAUGAGCGUGCGGGGGGCAGACGGGCGGCGCCACCAGGUCCUCUUCCUCCUCACGGAAAGUGGACUCCUGCACAAAGUGUUUUUGUCUGCACGGGGUCCACGGCUCAUUGAGGAGAUUGCGGUGUUGGAGAGCGGCGAGCGCGUCACGGCCUUCGUGUUGUCGACCGCCAAGGGCCUGGCGUUCGUCGGCUCGUGGGGCGCCGUCACCGCCGUGCCCGUCGCUCGAUGCUCCGCCCACAGCACCUGCGGACGCUGCCUAUUGGCCAGAGACCCUCUCUGCGGCUGGAGCCAAAGCAGGAAGCUGUGCGCCCGCUUGGACCAGGAACAACCCGAAGAAGACAAAGAACACAUACGCUGCACCGAUCCGCCUGUGGAUCUCCCGCUCCAUUGUUCCCUCACCUGUGAACAAGACUUCGAGAUACUUGAACUCGUCCACUUUGGUCAGGAUCUCAUCCCCGACUUGGAGAGAGCAGUCCGCUCUCUUCCGACAGAGACGCAAUUCUGAGGUCUCUGAACCAGACGGCCUCAACGCCUGGAAAUUCUGUCCAUGAAGGUAAUGAACAGAAUCGGUGACAAAGGGCUGCCUCGGCGGAGUCCGACCCUCACCGGAAAGGAGUCCGACUUCCUGCCAGCGAUGCGGACCGAACAGCCCGAUCAGGAGGUCCGGUACCGCAUAGUCCCGGAGCACCCUCCACAGGACUCCCCGGCGGACAUGGUCGAACGCCGCCUUCCAGUCCACAAAGCACAUGUAGACCGGUCGGGCGAACUCCCACACACCCUGGAGAACACUGCCGAGGGCGUAGACCCGGUCCACUGUUCCGCAGCCAGGACCAAAAGCACACUGAUUUGACUUCCCGACGGACCCUCCUCUCCAUUGAUGACACGUCAUUCACCUACAGUAUCGGUGACAUUUGGAUUUCUUACGUAUCCCAUAUUGAUAUCCGGGUCACAUCUACAUAAUGACAAGCUAUCGACGCAUACAGUAUCUUUCGCAUAUCGAUGAUGUGUAUAUGGCCAUGACCGCAUACUGGUCAUGCACUGAUGACAUAUUGAGCAUGAGUGACAGGAAGUGUGCUGGUCAGGGUUCAACUGCUGGAGGGUGGCGACGUGGCGAAGGAAUGUCGCGGAGAAGGCGGCACCCGUCCCGUCAAAAAUGUGGUGGCGCGCGCCAAUGAGGUCGUCAAACUUCCGUGCGACAAACCUUGGGAGUCGUCUACGCUGACGUGGAC